rnacentral:tRNA from 1 species
ACUAGCUUAAUAUAAAUAAAGUAUAUAAAAUUGUAAAUUUUGGGGUAAUAAGGUAUUUUUAGCUAGAA